UAUUUUGUUUUGAUAUUUGAAUAUCUAAUGCUCACAUGCAGCCUGUACAUGUACUACACUUCUCAGGCUUAUGCAUUGUCAAUGCCACUAUAAGAAUGUGGUUGUUGUUACACGUUCUGUCCACUAGAGGGACUUCCGACAUCAGCCUGGCCUUGAAGGGGAUCUACGGCACGGCGUGUUGCAUGUAUGGCACACAGCGACGAUGAAGCGGCUCUGUUGUAAAGGCUAACGGUGCUCGGUUAGCACAACGUCGUGUUAGUGCCAUGAUUAAAAGAUCCUCUUUGUUACCUUGUGUAAAAGUCUUUUACAUAACUAUUGCAACUUCAUGUUUGGCAU